rnacentral:rRNA from 1 species
CCUACGUGAGGCAGCAGUGGGGAAUAUUGCACAAUGGGGGAAACCCUGACGCAGCGACGCCGCGUGAGUGAAGAAGUAAUUCGUUAUGUAAAGCUCUAUCAGCAGGGAAGAAAAUGACGGUACCUGAGUAAGAAGCCCCGGCUAACUACGUGCCAGCAGCCGCGGUAAUACGUAGGGGGCAAGCGUUAUCCGGAUUUACUGGGUGUAAAGGGAGCGUAGACGGCAGGGCAAGUCUGGAGUGAAAGGCGGGGGCUCAACCCCCGGACUGCUCUGGAAACUGUACGGCUGGAGUGCAGGAGAGGUAAGGUGAAUUCCUAGUGGAGCGGUGAAAUGCGUAGAUAUUAGGAGGAACACCAGUGGCGAAGGCGGCUUACUGGACUGUAACUGACGUUGAGGCUCGAAAGCGUGGGGAGCAAACAGGAGUAGAUACCCGGGUAGUC